rnacentral:rRNA from 1 species
AUGCUUCAGAUACCAUCUAUUAAAAUGCGUACCCUACUGAUUAGGUAUAUGGUUGAGAAUUUUGAGGCCACCACAUUCAGAUUCAUUAGACAAGAGCAGGUUGGGGAGGUGACUCUCGGUGCGGUCGACGUCGAGUGCAUCUUUAACCUGGAGAACCAAGGACUGUCCAUUUCGGACAUUCUGAUUGAAGAAGGCGAGGACAUUAAGGAGCGGGUGCGGCCACAGUUUCUCAGUAAGAUAACAGGAAACAUAGUGAUAGAUGAUCUCACAGGGGACAUAAUUAAAAAUAAAUCCACCGAUGACAAUUUCCUUCAGAAAUUAGUUCUUGUCCUGUUAGGAACAAUUAUUGCUCCCAUGUCGAGCAAGAUUGUUCCUAAACAAUACUACGCUUUGGUCGAUGAUGUGAAACGUAUUUCAAAGAUUAACUGGAAUGCGUUCACCCUCCGUGUUCUCCUCGAUUGCCUUCGCAUAGUCAAGAAAGGCAAACACAUCCGCCAAUGGCUGAAAGGCAAUUUGGCUCUCUUGUAG